rnacentral:snRNA from 1 species
GUGCUCACUUCGGCAGCACAUAUACUAAAAUUGGAACGAUACAGAGAAGAGUAGCAUGGCCCCUGUGCAAGGAUGACACGCAAAUUCGUGAAGCAUUCCAUAUUUAU